rnacentral:lncRNA from 1 species
GUGGAUUGGGCUGGAGAAUCUAAGCCCUAGGGUCUUUAUAUCAUCCUCAUUUGAAGUGGCUGAGAAAUGAGAAGAACUAGUGUUUUAAAAAAUUGGGGUGUAAAAUUAGGACUUUUGUUAGAUAUUUGCUUUUCAGGUUAGUGUGAACCAAGCGUCGAUCUUGCAUGAUUACAUCAUGUUCAAGAUCUGCGUCAAUUGCUUCAAAACAGCGGAUGUGUUUUUGUGAUGUUCCAACUCGAACUCUUGUUUCCAAGAAGGAUCGGAUGGAUCAAGAGUAAGAAGAUUCUAUGGGGUAAAUGUCCUUCCCUUAUUGUUGUGAAUUCAGUCAUCUCUCAUCUGUUUUGAUUUUUUUUCCUUUUUCUAUUUUUGAUAGGAAUUUGUGAGAUUUUGUGGCUAUUUUAAAUGGUUGGAAUUGCCUUGUAAUGAAGAUGAAGCAAUGAAUGUGAUGAAUAACAAAAUUGAAGAAUUGAGCUUACUGAUAGUUAAAAAUACAAAGUUAAAAUGAAAAGGGAAACACUUAAAUGGGAGAUGGAGAUUGAUAGGCAAACUCAAAACUAAUGUUGUGCAGUGUAUUGUCAUGGUUUGUCACUGUAGUUGUAAUUUUGUUAUGUUUUUACAUUUAUAUGAUGUAAUUAUAGUUAAAUGAUGAUUGUAAUGGAUGCAAUGUAGUUUCAUGACUGAUGUAAUUCAUUUGUAAUCCAUGUUUUUAAAAUGUUUGUUAUUUUAGAAUUUGUUUUUCACUUGAAUCCAUGGAUUCAUGCAAGAAGUUGAUUAAAACAGUGGAAUAUGAAGACAAUAAAAUGUCCAACAAAACUGAACAAAGUCAUAAGAAGACAAUAAAAUGCCCAACAAAACUCAACAUGAGAUGAUUCGCUUCCUCUUGCUGCCAUUCUUGAAAUUCCUAUGAGUAAAUGUCAGUUAUUGAAAAGCCCGCGUAAAAUGCAGAGUAUGAAUGAGGUUGUGCCACGACUUUGAAAUACUCCCCAUCUUAUAAUAAAAAGAGUCUAAUUUAAUAGUUAUGUGAAUUUAUUUAAGUAUUUAAAAUAAUAAAUCUAAUUAAUAUUAUUUUUUAGAUAAUUUAUAAUAUUUGUAAUUAAAUUAGGGGAAAAUAUUUGAAUUUAUAUCAAUUUUUAAAUUUGAAAAUUGUUAAGUCAUUAUAAAGAUCUUAUUAUAUAAGCAAGCUCUUAUUGCAUAAUGAAGCCGAAUAAAUGUUUAAGAUUAUAUUUAAAAGGAAUUAAGUUAAUCGUGCCAAUAAAAAGAGCAUAAAAAGUAAGAGGGUCUGAACAUAAAUUUUUGUUUACUACAGAAUUUGAGUCAUUUGCAAUUUGUUUUUUUUUUUUGAGUGCUGGUAUAUGUAAAACUUUAAAAUUAAUAAAUUGAACGUCUUAUAUGUAUAUAUACUCUCUCUAUUUCAAUUUAUAAAGUUAUAAUUAAUUUUUAAAAAUUAAUUUGACUUAUUUUAAAGCUCAAAAUUAAUAAAAUUCAUUAACGAUUACAAAUUAAAUCUUAUUUUUAGAUAUUCUACUACAUUUAUUUUGUACUCCUAUUAGAUUGGGUAUACAGUUAUACACUAGUCAAUGUUGACUUGAUGACUUCUUGUGGUGUGCCAUUACCAUUACAGUCUAAAGCUGGAAAACCUGAAAAUGAAAACCAGACUCACUAGACUUUCUCUAGUUGACCGACUGAUUGACCGACUUCUGAUCUUUGCUUUUCUAUUAAUUACUCACGCAUUACCACAUCCACACAACACAACGUAUACUUUAGGAGGACUCAAUAUCUCAACUUUUAGUAUCAUCUAUAUUUAUAAGAACAUAAUGCUAUUAUCUUCAAUUUCACUUUAAAAAAAUGAGACAAAUUUAAAAAUAAAUUUAAAUGUUUUAAUUACAUGUUACCAUCACGGAAGUGAUUAAUAUGAAUUUUAUUUUUGAAUAAGUUGGUCAAUUGGUCAAUAGAGUACUGACACGCAGGCAAAACUCUAUGCGUGUCGGCAUUUUACUGACCAAUUGACUAACUUACCAAAAAAUAAACUUCAUGCUAACCGGAUCCUACCAUCACCAGAUAACCACUCAUCGUUAAUUCACCAUCACCACAUAUCUUUUUGAAGAGACUGUCCGAAAUUUAAUUCUUAGAGCUAUUCAAAAGAGGUUCAACUGGACCCUUUACAAAUCAUAUAUACACAAUAUAUAAUUGCAUCACUCGAACUCAACUAAGAAAGAAAGAUUGCAAAAAUAGACAAGAAUAAAUGUAGUAGUAAGUACAACACAGAAGAGCCAGUGUCUAAGAAGUAUAUUAUAAAUAGCUUACUUAUAUAUUUCUUUCUUCGUUUAAGUUGCAUUGUGCUACAAAGGUGUUUAAAAAUACUAGAAAGGUUACAUUUGGAUUGAUAUCCUCUUCUACUAGCUAGUAUGUAUAUAUAGCAUGAAACAUUUGCUUAAAAAACAAUGACAGAAAGAAACAUUACAUGUAUUUAUUCUGCUUCAGAAAUAACUUCCAACUCCUUGUCAAGAGCUCCGGCAGGCCUAGUGGAACGA